rnacentral:lncRNA from 1 species
GCAAGGUGGCAAGCUCAGCUAGCUCCUUUUGAUUACGAAAUUCAGUAUAAAAAGGGUAGUGAGAAUUCGCUACCUGAUUUUUUAUCACGAGAAUAUUUAAUAUGACUUUCUACACCCGUUUUCUCUCUGAAAAAACAAUUCUUGCAAUUCUUCAAAGUAUUCCUUUACCUAAAGAUAUUCAAAAAUUGAUAUUAGAAACUCUCAUUCAUCAGCUUGUUCUAAAUGAUCUAUGGUGGUUCCAACUAAUUCAUGAUGAAUUAUGGUGGUAUACCACCCCUGAAAACACUGAUAAUGACUGGUAUGAUAUUGAUAAUGACUAAAUAAUGAUACUUCUUUGCAGUAUGGCUGAUCCCCCUUGGCAAAUCGCCAGAGGAAGAGGUCGGGGUAGAAACCAAAAUCCUGCAUAUUUGCACCAUGGAGGACGAACAAAUCCUUCUUAUCCACGAAGUAAUACCAGAAACUCUGCUUAUAGCACAACAAGUUCUAAUUUCCCUGUACUCCAACAUGGGAAUCGAACUUUGGUUAAUGCCCGAAUCUCUCAGGAGGCAUCAUCCUCACAGUCGCAAACUCCGAAUAUUAAUCUUG